rnacentral:rRNA from 1 species
GUACGAAGGGGACUAGCGUUGUUCGGAAUUACUGGGCGGUAAAGCGCACGUAGGCGGAUUUGUAAGUCAGGGGUGAAAGUCCCGGGGCUCAACCUCGGAACUGCCUUUGAUACUGCGGAUCGUCGAGUCCGAUAGAGGUGGGUGGAAUUCCUAGUGUAGAGGUGAAAUUCGUAGAUAUUAGGAAGAACACCGGUGGCGAAGGCGGCCCACUGGAUCGGUACUGACGCUGAGGUGCGAAAGCGUGGGGAGCAAACAGGAUUAGAU